rnacentral:rRNA from 1 species
GACGAACGCUGGCGGCGUGCCUAAUACAUGCAAGUUGAGCGCUGAAGGUUGGUACUUGUACCGACUGGAUGAGCAGCGAACGGGUGAGUAACGCGUGGGGAAUCUGCCUUUGAGCGGGGGACAACAUUUGGAAACGAAUGCUAAUACCGCAUAAAAACUUUAAACACAAGUUUUAAGUUUGAAAGAUGCAAUUGCAUCACUCAAAGAUGAUCCCGCGUUGUAUUAGCUAGUUGGUGAGGUAAAGGCUCACCAAGGCGAUGAUACAUAGCCGACCUGAGAGGGUGAUCGGCCACAAGGGGAAUGAGACAGCGCUCGACCUACUACAGGAGGCAGCAGUAGGGAAUGUGCGGUAAUGGACGAAAGUAGGACCGAGCAACGACGUGUGAGGGAAGAAGGUUGUUGGAACGUAAAACUCUGUUGGUAGAGAAGAACGUGGGAGAGGGUGGAAAGCUCACGAAGUGACGGUAACUAAGUAGAAAGGGAAGGCUAACUACGUG